CUGCAGACCUGCUUCACCACCUGUGAAGCAAUUCCCCUGCAGGUGGGGAGCCGGGGGCUCGAACCGGGAUCCUUAAACUGGUCCUUGUGCUUUGCGCCACGUGUGCUUAACCCGCUGCGCUACCGCCCGACCCCCCCUUUUUUUUAAUACCUCCAGCGUUAUCACUGGGGCUCAGUGCCUGCACUAUUAAUCAACUCCUGGAGGCUAUUUUUUCUCAUUUUUUGUUGCCCUUGUUGUUACUGUUGUUAUUAUUGCUGGAUAGCACAGAAAUGGAGAGAAGAAGGGCAGCCAGAGGAGGAGAGACAGACACCUGCAGAUCUGCUUCACUGCUUAUGAAGCGACCCCCCUGCAGGUGGGGAGACAGGGUCUCGAACCAGGAUCCUUAGGCCGGUCCUUGCUCUUUGCACCAUGUGCGCUUAACCAACUGCGCUACUGCCCUGACCCCCGAGUUGUUUCUUAGUCUUUUCUGUGAGUAGUUAAGUUAUUUUCUGAGCUUGGCAUUUUAUUACCAAAAAAAAAAAAAAAAAAGGUUAAGGUGAUCCAAAGGCGGUUUCAUCAAGUUCUGACAUUAAUAAAGUUCUCAGCUGCCCCUGUUACCUAGUGACCCUACAACUACUUGUCAGCCUAAGUGCCCAGCUGUGUUUUUGUUAUAUAUAUAUUACAAGUUUUUGCCAUACAAGUCUGCUGUCUAUAGGCAGGAGAUUGGAGUGGGCAGAGCUAAACUGCUGACAGGCGCCCGUCCCUCUGGACUCUGGGAUUCCCUAGGACACUUGGGAGCCUCUCAGAAAGCUCAGUCUUGACUCUGUGGUAGUCACUUGCCUCAAUCACAGGACUAUUGCAGCUGUACUUUCAUAGUCUUUGGAACAGACAUCUGGUACUCAGUGUCCGCAGACAAGUGUGGACCAAGUGACCAAUCAGCUGGCAGUCAGCAGAUGGCAUGGGUGGGGAACGAGCUGGCCAGCUCCCACGCUGUCCCACACAAAUGGAACCAGUGUCCUAAAGAGCAGGUAGGGGACAGGAGACCUGACUCAGCUUCAGUGAAAACCGUGAGGCCAGAGGAAGGUAUGAACAGGUUAAAGCUCUGCCAGCACCUCUGCUAAAGCCCACCUACCUACCUGGGAGGAAGAGGAAAGUGGAAGUGUAUGUGGUGGAAGAUCAAAGAAGGGAUGAUCUGGGCUCUUCCAGCUGCCUCACAGCCUGCUGGACUGCUCUGUGUUGCUGCUGUCUCUGGGACAUGCUCACUUGAUCAGCCUAGCCAUCCUGUCCUGCCAGCUCUGCCGCCACCUCUGACAGGUGUGCCUGUCGUCUCUUCUGAUUGCUGAAAUAAAUGACUAGCUCUGCACAGACAUUUCUACUUUCAACACAGUGGGAUUGUAGAUUAGUAGGGGAUGCUGCUGUUUAAUUCAGUGACUUGAUCUUUUUAAGGGUCAAAUUUCACUUCUUAUUGGCCUUUCACAAAUGUGCUAAAUGAUUUUCCUUUUAUUUUUUUUUUGGCCAAAGGCUUAUUAUGAAAUAUAUAUUUAUAAUUUUAAAAUUAUACAAAGUAGUGGCAAGAUGUAACAUACCACAGAAUGAUUUCUCCGCUUAACACCCUGUAUGGUUCAAUAAACUUGUUUAAACCUCAA